UGAGCCAUUGAGCAGCUGUAUUUUCGUGAAGGAAGAUAAGACCUUUGAACAUUUGAUAUCCUUUUGAGUGAAGUUCAAUGCGUUUACCGUUGCAUGCUAGCUGUGUUAGCAAGAAUGCUUUACGAUAUUUUGUAUUUUGUAAAGUUGUCUAUUGCAUUAGAACCAUUCAGGAAGAGAAUCUGAAAGGGGUCCAAAAGUAAAUUUAUGAAUAUGUAGACAUUAUAAAUUAAUGCCCAGAGUUGCUUAAUAGACUUUUUCACAAAACCGGAAACGCGUAAUCAAUGUGGAAGUGGACUUCCUGUCAAGCGUCAACACAUCAGGAGAUAAUGGAGUCGCCACAACUUCGCUCACAGAUUUACGAACAAUUUCACUUUCUUUCUGACGUUGCAAGACUGUUGCAGUCUCAAAAAAAGAACAAAAUAAAUAAAUGGUACACACAGUAUCAAGUUUACUUGAGCGAGAGCGAUCAGGCUAACUGUUAUUUACUGAACUGUUAGCUAACGUAGAAUGACAAAUCAUUAGCGUGUCCACUUAGACAUAAUGUAUGUGGGGUAUAGAGGAUAUAGAACACCUUAAUAAAAAAUAUAAUCUGCUUUUAAUUGUGCAUUGUGGUAUCAAUUUGUUCUGUAUGACAAUAAUGUUAAAGCCGAAUGCUGACGUCAACAGCUUCCGUUUCUGGCACCGCUCAAACACAGGCUCCGUUUUUCGUUUUAGCGGUGAAAACGUUCCAAGGAAAAGGGCAAGGAGACAUAAGUCAGACCCACGUCCGGGGCGCCCGGUGUCCGGCGUCAGUGGACCGAUCAACAGGAAAGGAAUGAAACGACAGAUUUGGCUGCUUUUUUCGGGAAUAACAAGAACAGUCCGUUUCAUCACCGGAAGCGGAAGUGCCGUCCAUCCACCGUUCUGCCCCCCAACAGCCACCACAUCGUCAUCCCUUUCAUCCAUCUUCCUUAAACGAGACAACCUCCAAGUCACGGUUCAUCUGGAGUCCAUUCCACUGGACAUCGGUUGUGGACGAAGGGGUGAUUUGAUGGCCAAGAAGCUCAUUCUGAUCUGCGCUGACGGUCCAACACAUUGCUGCCCGGCUCCCUCUGCCUGAAACUGACAACACAGAAGCAGGAUCUGGACAGCCGCUGGCGUCUUCCCCGGGGAAAGCCUGGACAUCUGGUUGUUGCGAUGCAGGGACUUGUUAUUCUGCAGCAAAGCAGUCCCGCUGGACCAGUUAAGUAGUAAUGACAGUAUGGAAUGAAUUGACGAGAGUCAUAAUUCCACAGGUGCUGGAGUCCCACUCAUGGAUUUUAUGGCUUUUUCGCAAAAUUCAUAUGCCAACUGAUCAAAGAAUCCUCCGUUUUGGAAGAUGAAAUGCAGUUUGUUGUGUUCGAUUGGAGUUGCUGUUAUGGUGCUGGAGGCUAGUGCUUACCUUCCCACGGCUAAUAAGCCUCUGAUCACAUUCAAGGCAUCCCGAUCUGGCAGGUCAACAAGCGUGUAAAAACCAGUGUUCUCAUUAGAGCACGGAACAUUGAUUAGGAUUAAAUUCAAAAUGUGCAACGGCGCCGUGAAGCCCAAGGACCACGCAUAAGAACAUCAGCCAUGUUUACUGCACCACGGCCUUGAAACCUAAAGUUUUGCUUUGCCAGCUCACCAACUGGUGUCUCCAGUUCUCACUGUUCAAUAGCAUUACAAAAAUAGAAUGUUUCCUCCUCUCGCACUACACAUCACAACACAUAAAAGGGGGAAUUGCAUUCCAUUGUGCUCAAUAAGAGACGCACGUUUCAACAAAACCACCACCGUAUUAUUGCAAUAUUAGAUUUCAGAGAAGAGGGGUGUGCUUCUUCAGACAAAACCACACGGGACAUUUGGGGGGCGAGCCGAGCGCUGCAGAGAGGCGGUCGGCUCCUCGCUGAUAGCGAUCAGCUAACGUCAAGCGGCUGCGGGCAGAAAUCAGCCGAUUAUCUCAGGUUUAGUACAGCCUCUUGAUCACACCGGGCACAGGAAGCCAUUAGUCUCUGUCACCCCCCUCCACCCCGCCACCCCGACUCUGGGAAAAUAGAUCCCAAUCUGCCAUUAGAAUGUUACGGUCCCGCUCUUUCCAUUUCCCCCCAAAAUCUUAUUUACUUCCCUCCCACCAGACCUUUCCAAACGCCGCCUUACCGUCACCUUUUCAACAUUUGUUGCAUUUUCAUUUGUGUCUUGGGAACAAUCUCACAGUGUUCUAUCAGCAUCAUCUGCCCAUGCACACAUUUUCCCUCAUGCACUCAUCAAGAUAUAGACCAUAUAAGGUUAUCUUGCAGUUGGAGAAGUGACGCUCUUUGCAGAAGUUGUGAUGCGACAAGCAGAGCCCCUUCAUUUUCUUGGAAAUUGAUAUAGCAUCAGAGAAAAAAAAAUAUAUAUAUUCAUGGUAAUUUUCUUUUUGCUAGUUUGCCGAAAUGUAUCACUGAAAAAGGUGUGCUGCAGAUACUAAUGUAUAUACAGUAAAGUUACAAUGUUCCACACAGAACAGACAAAAGCAUUGAAAUAGUGAUCCUUAAAAAGUGUUUGGACACGACCAAUAUUCAAUGUUGCCUCUGUACAGACUAUUUUUGCCUAUAGAAAAAAUCCAUAAUGCUUGAGUUCUCAAAUCCAACGUGUGUUGGAAGAGAAUGCCAAAGGGGAGAGUGAGCUGCACGCAAUCGAUCCUGAGAUAUUGCCUUAUUGAACAGGUGCCAUAAAUAGCUGCAUUAUGAUGUUAACUAUUGUGGAAGUUACGCAGAGGACAAGCAGAGGUCACGCUGCACGUUCUGCCAAAACGUGUCCCGUGUCUCAUCUCGUGCACGCUAUUCUCCCUCCUGUGUGCACGUGUAUUUUAGAAACACUGCGGCAUUGCCUGCAUCUUAUUCCCUAAUCAUAUAAGGCACAUUGGGCUGCUGCUAAAUGGGCUUUGUCAGAUUUCAUCAGCGAAACAGGGAUCGCUGGCAACUUAAUGAAAAGGUGAUCUGCAUCCCGAGCCUUGCAGGAAAUAAUUGUUCACUGUAAAUGUAAUUGACACACAAAUGAAUGUGUAAAGUAAAAUGAAGGAGACAUCUGUGACAAGGAAAUGAAUAGAUGAGAACAAUUAAGAGGAAAACAAGCAGUGCUCAGAAAUCAGUCCAUCAAUAAGAGCAAUACAUCAUUUUGAAAAAGACUGGCAUGUCUAACUAAAUUUGAUUAGGUAAAUAAGGGUAUAAUUCAGAUGAUUUAUUGACCAAUGAGGCGACAUUAAUGCAAGACAACCCUCGUGAUAAUAGUGAGAUUAUGGAGUAAAGGAGAGUUUAAAUGCUCUGAAUAAUUGAUAUUGUUAACACAGCAGCACCAGCAGCAGAUUUAUGUGUUGCAUGAAUGUACUUGAGGAGACGACGGCAUGCAUUCAUUUCUCCUUUGCAUUAAUAUGAAUAUUGUGGCCAGGCUGUUGUGGGCUGAUGCUUUUCUUAUAAUCAGCAGGGGUCUCCACACCUGAUCUCUGGUUCUGAGGCAUCUGCUGAACCUGUGCCGCCACCCUCGGUGCACCCUAUUCCUAAUCCUUUCACCACCUCCCUACUUGCCUCCGCGUGUGAGCCAUCAUGGCACAACUACAGAGGAACGAGGGGGCUUAGCACCGACGCCGACAUCAUGGCGUACGCUGACUUCUCCAUCAAAGGGUGACUCUUUCUCCAAGAGAAUUCCCUUCGUAGUAACGUGAUCAGAGCGGCUGUGUGUAGUUAAAAGCUUUGCGAUAGCUGUAAGGUAAAUUCAUGUGCAUGUGUAGUAUGAAGAUAAUGAAUACAGACAAUAGCCGUAUCUUUGGAAAACGCAUUGGAAUCAGACUGACUUUGAUGCAACGUUUAUUCUCCAAGCAAACAAACACCCCCCCACCACAAAAUGAAUCGUAUUCUUAUUUUACAUUAAGCUCGUCCUGUUAUGCAUGUGCGAAUCAUGUAUUCUUUCUAAUUAGGGAGUUAUGUGUCUUUAUCUCCAACAUUAGGACAAACUAAGAAUAAAACCAAUAAAAAGUGGUCGCCUAAUAUUUUUUUACCAAGUUUGCAUCUACAGAGGCCGUAAAUGAGUGGAGAGCAAAGCAGAUUUAGAUUUAUUGGCCAAUUCACACUAAUGAUCAUUAACUUGAUGAAGAUGAUCCUGUUUGGUGGAAAACAUAAAUGAAUAAUUAUUAUGAUGCCAGUAAACCGACUAGUUCUUCUAUACUGGCGAGCUCGUCUGAUUUAUUGCAAAGGUUGUGGUCGGCCUUCGUUUCUUUCCUUCCUGCGGUCUGCGUCCGUCUCUCAUGAACCUGCAAGCUUUUUAAACAGUUGGCUUUGGGACCACAAUUGGAAAAUUACCCUUUGGCAUUGGUUUAUUUUAGUGUUCAACAUAAUGCACAGUACCUUGGAUGCUGCAAAUUUACUUUAAAAAAAUAAUAGUGUAAUGUUUACUUUGGCCAAGUUUGUGAAUAUGUGCAUGGCUCUGGGCCUGAAAAGAAUUUUAAAAAACGAAUUAAGAGCAAAUAAGACUGAAUUGUGAUGUUUCGAUUAUAAAUGAUAAAAGAGGAGCCACAUUCUUUGUAGCGGGCGACUUUACCGUUUUGAUUCCUACCAAAGUAUCACAAUGGACACGUGACUUAAAUGCGACGUUCUCGUUCACUGUCACUGCCGUAACAUUUUUUAAAUGCACUGCAGUUCCACCAAUUAAUGGUGUGCGGUGGCGGUGCUGUGUGUUCCAUAGAAUACCUCUCAUUAUUCCCCGAGCGGUUUGUUCACUUACAGCAGAGUCACUGGUGGCGAGAGCUAAACAGAUGAGGUCUCUCUCCACGAGCAGCUGUUGCAGGUUAUUGAUGACCUCAUUAGAAUGCCGCCCGCGGCACGACGGCCCCGACUUUGAAAGGACUUGCCGAUAUGCAAAGCCACAAACCGCCAACGAAGCCCCUCCCCGCCCGGCGCCUUGUGCCCGGGCAGCAUCUCCGCGUUUUACCGAGCCUUCUCUGGAAAAAGCUCCAGGCUUUUCACUGCAAAGUGUGACUCGAGUGGUUGGAGGAGGACCCAUAUUCAUCGUGAUUUCAUUAGUUUUUAAUAUUAGUUAUUCUACAGGUGCUGUUUCUUAGUCUUUUAUAUCAGGGAGACUAGCUUGCACUAACAAAGCCUCACUGAGCAAUAAUGCUGCUUAAUUAAAUAUGACUUUACACUUGGCCUUACCCGUGCAAACGCAUGCAUCACAGACCCGCCGAAAGGAAACACAAUGGGGGACAUGAAUUGUUAUUUUCAGUGGCUACACAUUAACAUUUUUGUUGCUCUGUGUGGGAAUUAAAACCAGUGUAGCACAACGAAAGUCAUCUGCCAUGAAUACUAAAAGCAAGGCACGUUUUAAUCAUACACUUUGUGGCACUUUAUGGCGUGCGGCUUGGUUUGUAACGGCAUAUUAAUAGUAUAGGCAUAAAGUGGUGUUUACGCUCUGAAUGCCAAGAUAUAUGUCUGAACACUACAUCCAAAACACUUAGAAGAUACAUCUUAAGUGAUUUAACAACAUUAAACAAUUUACAUUUGAAUUUAAUUGUAUAUAAAAACUAAAGAAAACCUGAUUUCAAUAAAAUGCUGUUAAUGCUUGAGGUUUUCUGCCUUGGUCUUAGAGGCCCAAAGCAGCUGUUCUUUCACUUAACCACCAACUAUUGGCUUAAACAAAGCACCCAGCCAUCACUUGCAAUCCUGCUUGAGGUGCCAAGAGUGAAUGCCAAGUCCCUCCAACUGUCACUUCCUUCUUUAAUAUUAAUGAGCAACGCACGGAGCACGAAUCCAUGCCGCUACCACUGCAAAUGUCAAAUCAUCUCGGACAGCAGUUUUGUUUUCCUUUAUGAUUGUAGCUCUGGGCUUGUUCCUCUGCUAGUGAUAGAGGGAAGAACGUGACAUGGCGGUUUUGGACUCUGCAGGCCGCUCAAAUUGGCCUUCACAGCCCAUAAACUUUUCCCCCCCAGCCAGACAUCCUCCGGCACUUUUCCCCCCGUGGUCGGGGCAAUAUAUUGUCCUAUAGAACCAAGAGAAGAGAGACUCCCUGACUUCCAUCACUAAGGAUUUUUCAUUUCUUCCCAAGGAGAAAGAAAGUUGCAUGAGACAUACUUACAUUUAGCUUCUGGUAUAAUUACUUCCUCCCUGCUAUUGCAACGGUAAAUUAACCCUGAGGCUCUUUAAGCGAAAGCGUGUCCACGUGAUGAAGUCGUUAUUGUGCUCACGCCGAGUAGGUGCUGUUAGCUAAUUCUGAGAAUGUCAAACUAUAGUGAACAUUGCUUUUGUACCAUCUUAAUGUUUUUUUUUUACUUGAGUGUUUUACAUGCUGGAUGUAUUGGCAACAACGCAGGCUUAAGGGUGAAAAAUGUAAAAUUGUGUUUGACAGAGAAUAACAAAUCAUCUACUACUUCGCCAAAUGAAUUCUGGUAGAAAAAAACAGUCGACGCUUCCUUUGGAAAACACACAGUACCUGCUCAGGUAGAAGCCAGCAGGGUUUGGUAGGUCCACCUGUCUCUGGCGAUGAGACAAUGAGAAAUGAUUCUUUCCUUGGACUCAACAAAAUGCAAUCAGUUUUCCAAGGGAAUUUUUUUUUUGCAAUUCUGUGACUUUUUCACAAAAGCCUUUUCCUCCAUGUCUUCCAAACGAUGCUUUGUGAAGCCUUGCUAAUGCAUUUAGUCUUCUUGCUGCAUAGAACAACGUAGAAUAACUGAAUGUGGAGACACACAAUCUGUGGAAAUCACUCGAGACGUCCAUUUCAAAGGUGAUUUCACAAGAAGAGAACAACGAUAUUAUAGUUUGCAUCUAAUGGGGGGGUGAUGAAAACAAUCAGCACAGCACCAACGCUUUGGCUUAUCAGUAUGUUGCAGUAGAAACUCAUGUUAGAUGCAGUCCCCCCCCACUGCCUUAGCAAAGGUUUCUAAUUGAACCUGGCCACGGUGGUGUUCAUUGAUCUGUGUGUUAAUGAGAUGAGUCUUUUGCACAUUUCCGUUGUGCCGGGUUUUUAAGGCUUGCGUCGCUUCCUGACCCCUCCUUCCAACCAGGUGUUUUUUUGCCCUCAGUAAUGCAACCCGACUGCAUGCAUUUUGACUCAGUUACUGGCACAAACCAUUGUGUAUUCAAACAUGUAAUCAUUGCAUGUGCAUUCUAAUUAGAGUUUUUCUUCAGUGAGUAUGAGCUCAGACGGUUUGCUUCGGCCUCAUUGACAUGUGACACGCUGGAGAGGAGCGAGCGGGGGGGGUUCGGCUCCCCGAGUGCACAACGCAAUGUCAAACUGCUUCUCGACAAACACUACUCCGCAUUAAAUGUUUUCUUUAUGUACAGUGGGGAAAAUUGCUUUUCACAGUUCUAUAUUUUAUAUUCACGAAGAGCCUCCAUUGCAGUCAUUACCAGGGUCAGAGACAGAGAACUGAAAGAGCAAGUCACUAAGGCAUUUCACGGGCAGCGUCUCCAUCGGGCUGUUUCACCUAAAGUCAAAUGUGUAGUUCAACCUGAUGGUGUGCGGAUCGAGCUCUAACACCGGUGGUGACAGGGAUGUGCAAUAAAGCAGAAAGGGUCUGGAAUAAACAAUGUUUUCCUCUCACUCAGACAGUGUGCCAUAUGCCGUCUGUACAAACACGACGCAUGCAGCCCCAUGCCAAGCUCAUUACGGAAGGUAGAAUAUGCAUGAGCAUUCCCCGUGUGCUACUACUUCAUUACAGCAUCAUGGUUUUGCUGUAAUUACACACUCAUUAAUUGUUUAUCGUUUUCACCUUUAUUGCGAUGGACAGUGCAAUGGACCUUUUGGUAGUAUUCUAAUCAGGCUCAUUAGGCCCGUGGCCCACGUAUGAAAGGGAACAUGUAUCAGAGUCGACACAAACAGUGCAAUGCCACAAACUGAUUUGGUAAAUAAAGAAUGUAAAUGAUUUAAUAUGUAUUGCAUUGUCACUGCGCCUGUGAGACUUAAUUCUUUUACAAAUCACUCUUUUACUAACAACGAAAUCUAGGGUUUAGAGAAGGAAAACGUGCUGAAUGACCGUUGAAAUGUCAAGGAUUAAAACUUUGUGAUACCUCCCUGGUCUUCCAUUGCAAGGUGAUAUUUUUAUUCAGCUGCAUCCUUUACAGCCACAGAUGAUGCACUUCCUGGAGGGAAAUCAGUUUUCUGGGGUGAUGACAUUGCCUGUGAUAAGAUUCAGUCCACGCUGGCUCUGCUAUCGAGGCAAUGCUCUGACGCAGCUUCGGCCAGGAUGGGUUUCGCACCCAGUGGGACCACUGAGAGGGGCAUGGCACGGGUCGGGCAUCCAUUCACCCCCAAAUGGGCCGAUGAUGCUCAGCACAUUGAGCUAAGACACGUCGGGCUGAACAUCGCCCACUGAGGGCCUGUGAAGGUCAUGGAAAAGGAGAACUGCUCUGGACAUCCGCCGCCAGAGCGAGAGAAACCGACCACGAGGGUCCACGAGCAACAGACCGAAGCCGUCUCCAUUAUGGCCGAGACCAAGGAGGUCGGCUUUAGGUUGUUUUUUUCCCUCAGAGUAGCCCAGCUCCUAUUGUACAGGGUGAAGUACUGUGAAAUAUAUUGAGGAUAAAUCUGAGGAAAUUAUGUUCAGAACUGUAAAGGUACCGCAAGGUCCUUAUGUCAUUCAUAUCAUUUGAUUUAAACGUACAUUUUUCAUUUAGCUGACGCUUUUAUCCAAAGCGACUCACAAUAAGUGUAUUCAUCCAAGAGGGUACAGACCGAUGUCAUUCAUUACAUCAAACAUUUCCAUCAUAGAAAAAGAAAAUUUACUUUUUCCCACUUGGACAUAAUGGAGCACCACCAAAUGCAUCUCCUUUUGAAUAGAAUAAUCAUUUUCAUUAGAAAACCAGUCAGUAACUGCUUAGUUCAUUUUCAAAACGGCUCCUUUCUUAAAACAGCUUAAAUUUGUUGAACUACUUCUAGACAUUAUCUACAUUAUUGCAUUACGUUAAACAAAGAGCUAAAGCAUGCGCACAAAGCAGCUCGUUGUGUGUUAUCCGUCUCUCAAAGUCUUCUGUAUUAUGUCCCCUGAGUCUCUCAAAGUCUUCUAUAUUAUGUCCCCUCAGACUUCCACAGUCUUCUGUAUUAUGUCCUCUCAGUCCUCCAUAGUCUUCUGUAUUAUGUCCCCUCAGUCUUCCAUAGUCUUCUGUAUUAUGUCCCCUGAGUCUUCCACAGUCUUCUGUAUUAUGUCCCCUCAGUCCUCCACAGUCUUCUGUAUUAUGUCCCCUCAGUCCUCCACAGUCUUCUGUAUUAUGUCCCCUCAGUCCUCCAUAGUCUUCUGUAUUAUGUCCCCUGAGUCUCCCACAGUCUUCUAUAUUAUGUCCCCUCAGACUUCCACAGUCUUCUGUAUUA